GACGGGGGCCCGCACAAGCGGUGGAGCAUGUGGCUUAAUUCGAGGCAACGCGAAGAACCUUACCUGGAUUUGACAUGGAGAGGCUACCGGUAGAAAUACCGGGUCCCGCAAGGGCCUUUUCACAGGUGCUGCAUGGCUGUCGUCAGCUCGUGCCGUGAGGUGUUCGGUUAAGUCCGGCAACGAGCGCAACCCACGUUAGUAGUUGCCAGCAGGUAAAGCUGGGCACUCUACUGAUACUGCCCGUGUUAAGCGGGAGGAAGGAGUGGAUGAUGUCAAGUCCGUAUGGCCUUUAUAUCCAGGGCUGCACACGUGCUACAAUGGCUGCUACAGAGGGAAGCGAAAUCGCGAGAUGGAGCAGAUCCGUAAAAACAGCCCUAGUUCGGAUUGCAGGCUGCAACUCGCCUGCAUGAAGCCGGAAUCGCUAGUAAAGGCGUAUCAGCCACGACGCCUUGAAUACGUUCCCGGGCCUUGUACACACCGCCCGUCACAUCAUGGGAGUUGAUUGCACCCGAAGCUGCUGACCGAACCUGCAAAGGACGGAGGCAUCUAAGGUGUGGUUAAUGACUGGGAUGAAGUCGUAACAAGGUAGGCCGUUGGGGAA
rnacentral:rRNA from 1 species